rnacentral:rRNA from 1 species
UACAGAGGGUGCGAGCGUUAAUCGGAAUUACUGGGCGUAAAGGGUGCGUAGGUGGUUUUGCAAGUUAAAUGUGAAAUUCCAGGGCUUAACCUUGGGACUGCGUUUAAGACUGCGAGGCUAGAGUACUGUAGAGGGAAGUGGAAUUUCCGGUGUAGCGGUGAAAUGCGUAGAUAUCGGAAGGGACAUCAGUGGCGAAGGCGACUUUCUGGACAGAUACUGACACUGAGGCACGAAAGCAUGGGGAGCAAACAGG